UGGAAAGGUGGCUGAGUGGCCGAAAGCACAUCCCUGCUAAGGAUGCGUACCUGCAAGGGUACCGAGGGUUCGAAUCCCUCCCUUUCCGU
rnacentral:tRNA from 1 species